CAAACUUUAUUGAAAAUUUUCAACAUGUGCUCCAUCUGUAUCUUUGCAAAUUUCAAAUCUAUCCAUAGCAUUGUGAAACACAUUUUGAAGCAUUUCUGGAGAGUUAUCUCCUGCACUGCUAACUGAAUGCAUUCUUGAAGUUCAGCUAAACUAUUGCUCCAUCCUGGGGAUGGAUGUACAGAUAAUGAUUGCAGCCAAAUUGAAAAAAUGAAAGCUGCCUUGGACAGAUAAGUGGAAUCCAACAAGAAUGCAAAUAAAAUUAUAUUUAAAAAAUGAUAAAAACUAUAAAAGUUAUAAAAUUUUAACACAGAUCAAC